GGCCGGUUCUACAGUUGGAGAAGAGGUGGAGCAAGUAAACAGUUUCCUGUCUAGGGCGGCCAUCACAACGAAGUACAUGUCUAAAGCAGGGCGAACAGACAUGCUGAGCCUCCUGGCUUUGGGCUGGAACAAAAGGAAAGUGGAACAACUGGGCCGCACUUUGAGCCAGAGAUAUCUAAAGAUCAUAAGGAUCCUUAGAGAACAAGUGGAGAGCCUGAAUGCGAGCAGAAAUGAGCUGGGUGUGGA